UGGGGAAUAUUGGACAAUGGGCGAAAGCCUGAUCCAGCCAUGCCGCGUGUGUGAAGAAGGUCUUCGGAUUGUAAAGCACUUUAAGUUGGGAGGAAGGGCAGUAAGCUAAUACCUUGCUGUUUUGACGUUACCGACAGAAUAAGCACCGGCUAACUCUGUGCCAGCAGCCGCGGUAAUACAGAGGGUGCAAGCGUUAAUCGGAAUUACUGGACGUAAAGCGCGCGUAGGUGGUUUGUUAAGUUGGAUGUGAAAGCCCCGGGCUCAACCUGGGAACUGCAUCCAAAACUGGCAAGCUAGAGUACGGUAGAGGGUGGUGGAAUUUCCUGUGUAGCGGUGAAAUGCGUAGAUAUAGGAAGGAACACCAGUGGCGAAGGCGACCACCUGGACUGAUACUGACACUGAGGUGCGAAAGCGUGGGGAGCAAACAGGAUUAGAUACCCCCGUAGUCCCUGAGCGGGCUGGCAAGGCGCAU
rnacentral:rRNA from 1 species